rnacentral:tRNA from 1 species
CGGUCUUAGUUCAGUUGGUAGAACACUGGUCCCCAAAACCAGCAGUCGGGGGUUCGAGUCCUUCAGAUCGAG